rnacentral:rRNA from 1 species
AUUGAACGCUGGCGGCAGGCUUAACACAUGCAAGUCGAGCGGAGAUGAGGUGCUUGCACCUUAUCUUAGCGGCGGACGGGUGAGUAAUGCUUAGGAAUCUGCCAUUUAGUGGGGGACGACAUUCCGAAAGGAAUGCUAAUACCGCAUACGUCCUACGGGAGAAAGCAGGGGAUCUUCGGACCUUGCGCUAAAUGAUGAGCCUAAGUCGGAUUAGCUAGUUGGUGGGGUAAAGGCCUACCAAGGCGACGAUCUGUAGCGGGUCUGAGAGGAUGAUCCGCCACACUGGGACUGGGACACGGCCCAGACUCCUACGGGAGGCAGCAGUGGGGAAUAUUGGACAAUGGGCGGAAGCCUGAUCCAGCCAUGCCGCGUGUGUGAAGAAGGCCUUUUGGUUGUAAAGCACUUUAAGCGAGGAGGAGGCUACUAGUACUAAUACUACUGGAUAGUGGACGUUACUCGCAGAAUAAGCACCGGCUAACUCUGUGCCAGCCGCCGCAGUAAUAC